AGAGUGAAGUCCUCAAGUGAACUGAAUCUCCUGGGACUUUUCUAUGGUGAUGAAGCGUAACAGCGACUCAGAGAGCCCAGCAGCCCUCUCUCCAGUACCUCCUCCUCAGCUGCCAAUCUUUAUUGACCUCCCCCUGCUCUCUGGGAGAAACCAGUCUCCAUCACACAGCUGCUGCUAAGGCCCUUCAUGACCUAGCUUCCAAACAGCUCUUGGGGACCUUUGCACAGGACCUCUGCCUGAAAUCACCUCUCUCUUACUCCCUAAGCAGGAUAAUCACUACUCGGACUUUGAGCUAUUCUCCUGUUUCCCUCGAAGCCACUGACACAUGCAUAACCCUGGUCUCUCUGUAACCUUACAGCCCCGGAAACCACACAUCAUGUGCUUUGGAUCUCACAUAUCACUCAUGCUCAGAGGCAGGGCAAGAAUGGAAAAAGCUUUGGUUUUAGGGUAAAACAAAUUCAGGUCAUAUUCCCAGCAGAGCCACUCUCUAGAUUUUGUGCAUGAAUUUGUGCAUGAAGUUAAAUCUCUCAGGGUCUCAAUUUC
ensembl:lncRNA